rfam:Picea glauca, whole genome shotgun sequence.
GGGUGCGAUCAUACCAGCGUUAAUGCACCGGAUCCCCUCAGAACUCCGCAGUUAAGCGCGCUUGGGCUAGAGUAGUACUGGGAUGGGUGACCUCCCGGGAGGUCCUGGUGUUGCACCCU